rnacentral:lncRNA from 1 species
AAAACAAGUAGCAUGGCUUGGGGACCAGCCCUCUUCUAUUGGGGGAGGUGGAGCCAGCUCAUAUGGUGCAACAGCUGAUGAUGAUGAACAGGAGGAAGAAGAUGAUGAGGAUGAUGCUGAUGAGGAUACAAAUAUGAGUGAUUAGAGCACAUCUUGAGUUUCACAGGACCUUUUAUUUUGCUUUAUUUUGUUAUGCUUUCUAGUUUAAUUGCUAAACUUUGUUGAAAGUUAGUUCUUAGUUUAGGAUUUAAUGAACAGUUUGUGUUUCAACUUGGAUGUUUUGGUUGAGUUAUCUGGCUUGAUAGACUAUGUUGAUCCAUGAUGCUUAUGCUUGAAUUGGAAAUGAUGUUUGAGAUGGAUCAAGUUAGUUCAAAUUGUGUUGUUUUCUUCAUGAAAUGUAUGAGAAUGCCUUAUGUUUAAUUGCGAUCAGUAUUUAUGGCAGUUGCUUGUUGAUGCUUGUGGAACCUUGAGUCAACCUUGUGAGAUGUUGUGCCUUAUAUUUUUCUUGUGAAUACUAUCAUCUU